rnacentral:lncRNA from 1 species
CAGCACUCGACGUGCCCCGGCUGAUCGGCCAGCUGCCCAGGAAUCUCAGAUUGAACCUUAAAGACUUCUCGAGGCCAGGAAAGCCACGCCAAGGAUUUGUGCCAUCAGGCCUUGACUGCAAUACCUUAGAUUUGCGUGAAUUUCUCUCCUACCUUGAGAUUCCCCGGAAUAUUUCGAGGUUUAUUGCACCUGCCGGAUAAGCAAGCUUCCUUACUUACCAGGUUGAUCUACCUGUCCAACUGCAUCAUAAGGGACAGAGAAACCCCUCAAGUUUUCGAUUUUACAGAAGGUCCAGGUUCUGCUCAGGUCCAGCCUGAACUUAACCUCGACUUGGUGACAACAGAAGAGAUGAUGAGCAAAACAGACAAAGAAAGGAAAAGAAGAGAUCAAACCUCGCCCUCAUGGCCUGUUCCAGAGGGUUAUCAAGAUAAGAGUCACUCAACAGUUCCUGUGCAGGGCACACAACCCCAGCAGGACAGUUCACAGAAGAAAUCACAGUGAUGCGGGAACGGUGAGCCGAGGAGUCGAAAGAAA